rnacentral:rRNA from 1 species
AUACGAAGGGGGCUAGCGUUGUUCGGAAUCACUGGGCGUAAAGCGCGCGUAGGUGGAUCAAUUAGUUGAGGGUGAAAUCCCGGGGCUCAACCUCGGAACUGCCUUCAAUACUGUUGAUCUUGAGACCGAGAGAGGUGAGUGGAAUUCCUAGUGUAGAGGUGAAAUUCGUAGAUAUUAGGAAGAACACCAGUGGCGAAGGCGGCUCACUGGCUCGGUACUGACGCUGAGGUGCGAAAGCGAGGGGAGCAAACAGGAUUAGAAACCCUAGUAGUCC